UACGUAGGGGGCUAGCGUUGUCCGGAAUCAUUGGGCGUAAAGCGCGUGUAGGCGGUCCGGUAAGUCCGCUGUGAAAGUCGGGGGCUCAACCCUCGGAUGCCGGUGGAUACUGUCGGGCUUGAGUACGGAAGAGGCGAGUGGAAUUCCUGGUGUAGCGGUGAAAUGCGCAGAUAUCAGGAGGAACACCAAUGGCGAAGGCAGCUCGCUGGGACGGUACUGACGCUGAGGAGCGAAAGCAUGGGGAGCGAACAGG
rnacentral:rRNA from 1 species